GCCUGGGUGGCUUAGUUGGUUAAGCAUCUGACUUUGGCUCAGGUCACUAUCUCACGUUUUGUGGGUUCGAGCCCCGCAUUAGGCU
rnacentral:tRNA from 1 species